rnacentral:rRNA from 1 species
AGAGUUUGAUCCUGGCUCAGAACGAACGCUGGCGGCGUGCUUAACACAUGCAAGUCGAGUGCGCGGUUGUAGCAAUACAACUGGCGCACGGCGCACGGGUGCGUAACACGUGGGUAACCUGCCCUUUGGUGGGGAAUAACUCCGCGAAAGCGGAGCUAAUUCCGCAUAAGAUCCGCAAGGAUGAAAGCCGUAAGGCGCCGAAGGAGGGGCCCGCGCCCGAUUAGCUAGUUGGUGAGGUAAUGGCUCACCAAGGCUUUGAUCGGUAGCUGGUCUGAGAGGAUGAUCAGCCACACUGGAACUGAGACACGGUCCAGACUCCUACGGGAGGCAGCAGUGGGGAAUCUUGCACAAUGGGCGAAAGCCUGAUGCAGCGACGCCGCGUGGGGGAUGAAGCAUUUCGGUGUGUAAACCCCUUUCGAUCCGGACGAAACCCCGCAAGGGAUUGACGGUACGGAUAUAAGAAGCCCCGGCUAACUACGUGCCAGCAGCCGCGGUAAU